GCGGCUGUCCUUGGGGAGUAGCCGGCUUCCGAGCAUCGGAAGCGCUCAUGUCAACACGCUUGGUCGAUCGACCGUGGCAUGAGCCGCCCGCAGUAGUUUUGUCAGGUUGGCAAGACCAUCGACAUGUCAGCGCGACCGGCCGGGCGCGCGGGCAUGUCGCAUGUUCAUGCCCGGCCCGAACG
rnacentral:sRNA from 2 species